CAGAUUGAUGUUAUAGGUGUCUGACAACCUUAUGGAGAGGAUUUCUGAGGAGGUCGACCCUUCUGUUAAAGAGUAAGAUCCUUU